UGGGGAAUUUUGGACAAUGGGCGAAAGCCUGAUCCAGCAAUGCCGCGUGAGUGAAGAAGGCCUUCGGGUUGUAAAGCUCUUUUGUCAGGGAAGAAACGGUGAGGGCUAAUAUCCCUUGCUAAUGACGGUACCUGAAGAAUAAGCACCGGCUAACUACGUGCCAGCAGCCGCGGUAAUACGUAGGGUGCAAGCGUUAAUCGGAAUUACUGGGCGUAAAGCGUGCGCAGGCGGUUUUGUAAGUCUGAUGUGAAAUCCCCGGGCUCAACCUGGGAAUUGCAUUGGAGACUGCAAGGCUAGAAUCUGGCAGAGGGGGGUAGAAUUCCACGUGUAGCAGUGAAAUGCGUAGAUAUGUGGAGGAACACCGAAGGCGAAGGCAGCCCCCUGGGUCAAGAUUGACGCUCAUGCACGAAAGCGUGGGGAGCAAACA
rnacentral:rRNA from 1 species